GAUAUCAACUGAAAAAGUCAUCAACAACAAAGUUGAAAAACUCAUCAAGAUCUAAAACUUUUAUUUUGGUCAUUUCUUCAUACAACAAAGUGAUAGUAACAUUGUUCACAAAAUUGACAUAUCUCUUAUCUGGUUUUAUAAACUAUAACACAUAUAUGUAAAAUUUGUGAAUAAUAUUACUAACAUUUCGUCGGAUGAAGAAAUAACAAAAAUAAAAGUUUUAGAUCUUGAUGAGUUAUUCAACUUUGUUGUUGAUGACUUUUUCAAUUGAAAUC
rnacentral:pre_miRNA from 1 species